CAGUAGCCACGGGAAUACGUAGGUGGCGAGCGUUGUCCGGAAUUAUUGGGCGUAAAGGGAGCGCAGGCGGGCGAGUAAGUCUUUCUUAAAAGUGCGGGGCUCAACCCCGUGAGGGGAGAGAAACUACUCAUCUUGAGUGCAGGAGAGGAAAGCGGAAUUCCUAGUGUAGCGGUGAAAUGCGUAGAUAUUGGGAGGAACACCAGUGGCGAAGGCGGCUUUCUGGGCUGUAACUGACGCUGAGGCUCGAAAGCCAGGGGAGCAAACAGGAUUAGAUACCCCAGUAGUCCCUGUCUCUUAUACA
rnacentral:rRNA from 1 species